UUGAUCAUGGCUCAGGACGAACGCUGGCGGCGUGCUUAACACAUGCAAGUCGAACGGUGAAGCGCCUUCCUUUUUGGUGGGUGUGGAUGAGUGGCGAACGGGUGAGUAACACGUGAGUAACCUGCCCCCUUCUUCUGGAUAACCGCAUGAAAGUGUGGCUAGUACGGGAUAUUCUGUGCCUGCUGCAUGGUGGGUGUGGGAAAGAUUGCGCUUUUUUGGUGUUUUUGGUGGGGGAUGGGCUCGCGGCCUAUCAGCUUGUUGGUGGGGUGAUGGCCUACCAAGGCGGUGACGGGUAGCCGGCCUGAGAGGGUGGACGGUCACACUGGGACUGAGACACGGCCCAGACUCCUACGGGAGGCAGCAGUGGGGAAUAUUGCACAAUGGGCGCAAGCCUGAUGCAGCGACGCCGCGUGAGGGAUGGAGGCCUUCGGGUUGUGAACCUCUUUCGCCAGUGAAGCAGGCCUGCUCCUUUUUUGUGGGUGGGUUGACGGUAGCUGGAUAAGAAGCGCCGGCUAACUACGUGCCAGCAGCCGCGGUAAUACGUAGGGCGCGAGCGUUGUCCGGAAUUAUUGGGCGUAAAGAGCUCGUAGGCGGCUGGUCGCGUCUGUCGUGAAAUCCUCUGGCUUAACUGGGGGCUUGCGGUGGGUACGGGCCGGCUUGAGUGCGGUAGGGGAGACUGGAACUCCUGGUGUAGCGGUGGAAUGCGCAGAUAUCAGGAAGAACACCGGUGGCGAAGGCGGGUCUCUGGGCCGUUACUGACGCUGAGGAGCGAAAGCGUGGGGAGCGAACAGGAUUAGAUACCCUGGUAGUCCACGCCGUAAACGUUGGGCACUAGGUGUGGGGGGCCUUUUCCGGGUUUUCCGCGCCGUAGCUAACGCAUUAAGUGCCCCGCCUGGGGAGUACGGCCGCAAGGCUAAAACUCAAAGGAAUUGACGGGGGCCCGCACAAGCGGCGGAGCAUGCGGAUUAAUUCGAUGCAACGCGAAGAACCUUACCAAGGCUUGACAUGUGCCGGUCGGCUCCGGAGACGGGGUUUCCUCCUUGUGGGGCCGGUUCACAGGUGGUGCAUGGUUGUCGUCAGCUCGUGUCGUGAGAUGUUGGGUUAAGUCCCGCAACGAGCGCAACCCUUGUCUCGUGUUGCCAGCACGUUGUGGUGGGGACUCGCGGGAGACUGCCGGGGUCAACUCGGAGGAAGGUGGGGAUGACGUCAAAUCAUCAUGCCCCUUAUGUCUUGGGCUUCACGCAUGCUACAAUGGCCGGUACAGAGGGCUGCGAUACCGUGAGGUGGAGCGAAUCCCUUAAAGCCGGUCUCAGUUCGGAUCGGUGUCUGCAACUCGACACCGUGAAGUUGGAGUCGCUAGUAAUCGCAGAUCAGCAACGCUGCGGUGAAUACGUUCUCGGGCCUUGCACACACCGCCCGUCA
rnacentral:rRNA from 1 species